UACGUAGGGCGCAAGCGUUGUCCGGAAUUAUUGGGCGUAAAGAGCUCGUAGGCGGCCAGUUGCGUCUGCUGUGAAAUCCCGGGGCUCAACCCCGGGCUUGCAGUGGAUACGGGCUGGCUGGAGGCAGGCAGGGGAGAACGGAAUUCCCGGUGUAGCGGUGAAAUGCGCAGAUAUCGGGAGGAACACCGGUGGCGAAGGCGGUUCUCUGGGCCUGUACUGACGCUGAGGAGCGAAAGCAUGGGGAGCGAACAGG
rnacentral:rRNA from 1 species